ACAGCCUUUAUGAGUGUUUGCUUCAGCAGCACAUAUACAGAGAAGAUUAUCAUGGCCCCUGCUCAAGGAUGACAUGCAAAUUGGUGAAACAUUCCAUAUUUUU